CUGGAGGAGAGGGAGAAGGUGGAUGAACGAGGAUGGAAGAGGACGCUUUACCUGGGCCUCAUGCCCGAAAAACACCCUCGUGGGAAAUUCAAGUCGACUGUUGGUCAGGGACUUUACAGUCCGGGCUUACAAUUAGAUGAUAAGUGGUAACCUGUGCGGUUAAAGCAAUCCGAUGUUUUGGGAGUCUGUUUCUGUCUUUGGUUAUCUAGCUGUAUGAGUGUUAAAUUCCUGUCAUAAAGCUAGAUAACCGAAUGUAGGAAUGACUCCCGUAAUGAACGUUGAGGGAGAAAGCAAGAAAGAGCGAAGACUGGCCUUCACCUCAAAGAGUUUCAAUUAGCGCCGUUCUUCUUGAAAAGACGGUGGAGGCAUUGUUCAGCGAAAAAGAGGACGAGGUCGUCGCGCUUCCUCCGCCCUCUCUUCUUUUUGCCCAGAAGCCUUGGGAUGCCAUCUGCCCUGCCAGUGACAGACACUGCGCCUAUGCCAGGAGGCAGACAAAGACCUUGGCCGAUCUCGGAUCCUGGCUGCGGGCGGAGGAGCCAUCUUGGGCGAUCUUGCAGUGAUAUUUAAAAUGGCUGGGCUGACAUACAAGGUUGAAGAUGACAAGCAGUGGAAUAACUCCAGCCUGCACAUAUUUGCGACCAAAGUCACCACACCAUUUUUUUUCAAAGAUACCUCAACUCAACCCACGAUGUUUUUUUCAAAAUAAAACGUUACUACACGUUCUUAUGUAAAAUGUGUUCAUCUUAAAUUCUGCAAAUAACCCCCCCCCCCCCUCCCCGCAAAACCUGUGUACAAUUUGUUUUCAAUGUGAUUUGUUUCAAGAACAUUGUAAAAUAAAUAAAACUCUUCUUGUAAUCCCCCCGCCCCCCUCUUCCGUCCCAAAUGAUGAAUUCUUCUGUAUAUUGACAUGAACAACAAAAUGAAAUAAACGCACAACGGUCUAAAUCGUGUUUAGGGAAAAGGGAAUGCACACGCAGUGCUUUCGUGUUGAUAGCAAUGUAUUUAAUGAUUUCGUUCAUCGAAAGAAGCUGGUAUGAGGAUAUGCGCUAUACAAGCUUUGCUUGCGCUUUUUUAUUUGGGGGGGGGGAGCCCAUUAAGUGCAUCUGACCCUGCACAAUUAGCUACAGCUGCACCUGUGAUUAAAAUGGGUUCAACAUCUUCAUGUUCGUUUAUGAAUUUAUUUUGAAGCAGGGUUGAGCAGAAAAGGAGGAAGGUUCGAUCGAAUGACAUGGCUGACGCCUUGUUUGCACCCAAACAAACAGCAUAUGAAGAGACCCGCACACAAACGCGCGCGGGUACGUGCAGACGGGUCAACGCGGGAUUAGACUGCAUCCGUUUUAAAGGAAUGAAAAACGAAUGCGAUGCAGGCAUUAACAGGAGCCCGUUCGGGUACCUCGAAGGCCCAAACGAAUGUGCAGAAACGAAUCUCCUCACGUCGGGGCUCAGUGGAUUAUUAGAUAAUUUUCAUAAAGAAUGAUUAUUCAAAUAAAAAUGGCUUGCACGAUUAAAAUUAAAAUGUCAACAGUUUUCAUAUGUGAAAAAUUGAAAACGUUCUUAAAUGUUGACAUUUUACAUGCAAUCGAUCCACUGAAACGAAAUAUACAAAACAUAAAGGUAUCGUGGAAAGUAGCACAGACGCAUCAUCUACGACAAUACAAGGUAAUAUAAUUUAAUAUACCGGUAACGGAAUACAGUGUAAUGCAUGUGCCUAGCAGCCUUGCCCCCCCACGACUAUUUUAUAGUGAGGAGAGCAGUACAGGGACUUCAUCACAUAAAACAAUACCAACCUGUAUAAAACUAAAUUCAAGUGAAAACAAGUGACAAAAGAUUUUUUGACAAAUUUCGACUUCCUUGCACAAAUAUACACAAAUAAAUGUGGACAUUAAUUCAAUGAAUCGUAAAAUGAGAUGGCAAAUGUGAAAAAAUACCCCCCCCCCGCACCCCCAAUCGAAAAGCUUUUUAGUGAUUCCGUGAGGGUGGGGAGUUGUGCAUGUUUUCGUUGUGUCUCAAUAAUUGUAGCGACUCCUUUCUGGUUGAAUGCAAAGCAAUUAAUGAAACCAGCCUCUGGAAUGUUGAAAUAAGCACAUUAAUAAAAUUGCUCCACUGG